rnacentral:lncRNA from 1 species
GAAGUGGGGGUUUAAGUGGAAGCAGUGAGGGUGGGGGCCCGGCCCAAACUGUGCCACCUUCCACCCCCUGCCCCUGGGAGAAUAGACAUCGCCCACUCGGGCUCACAGUGCCAUCCGGGUGAGGACCUCCAUGGAGAGCUUCUCUUUGCCAAAGAAAAGGAGUUGCAUUAGGUCUGCGAGCAGGCAGGGUGGCCUCUUCCUGGCUCCCCAUCCACCAAGGAAGCUUCAAGUUCCUGGGACACAGGCACUUUCCCACACAGGAUGGAGCUGGGCCAUCCUCACAGCUCCUGCCCUGGAGACGCUGGCCUUGUGGAGGGAGGCGGGCAGCAGGAGCAGUGCUUUCUGGGCCUCUGUGGCCAGAGCUGGCCCUGCUGCAGCUCACUUCUGCCUGCAGCCCAGACGUCCUCCUGGUCCUCCUGAUGCCCCCGACCUCCAUGGAGGACGAGCAUUUCCAGCCCAGCCCUCCCCGUCUUCACCUCGCACUGCCCUGACACACUGGGAGCCUCCUGAUCCGUGAACCCGCGCUGGCGGGAGUAGCUACUGACCGCUGGGGACCCCUGCCCAGGCUGUUCGCAUGUGGAAAGGAUUCAGGGAGCAGGCGAUGCCCAAAGCGUGGAGACCAGCACUGCUCUCUCCCCAGCGACAGGUGCACGCCCAGAUCACGGAUGUGUCGGGAACAGCUGUGCUCCUGCUGCUCAGCGUCCGUCACUCCAGGCUGGGAGCGGGUCCCCAAGCUUCCGGCUGGGCCUAUCCGUCUCCACUCUCAGUGUGGGGGUGGGGGGCGCCAACAGCACGCAUUUGCUCUCUGCACUUCUCGUCUGAUAAUGGGCAGAGGGUCCUUCUGCAGCCCCAAAACAUCCCUAGGCAGGAGCCCUGGGGCCCCAAGCAGCCAGGGAGGUGAGCACCAAGGACCUCCCAGAGAGCGUCACCUUCCGCCGAGGGAGGCCCAGCCUGGGGGUGGUGUCUGAGACUUGGAAUCAACGCUUCCGUUGGUGGCAGUAAAUCCUGUCCCUAACCCUGCAGUAUAGCUGUGCCGUGUACAGGAGGGUGCUGUCUGACGCCAGACACCUGGACUACAGAUCGCAGCCCGAUUCCUGGUCAUUGCUCCACUGAACCCCAGACCCCAGCCUCAUUCUGGGCCCUCAUCCCCUAGAUCCAGGGACCCCAGCCCCAUUUCAGCCCUUGGGCCCUUGUAGGAUGCGAGGCCCUGGGCCCCAGCCCCCAGCCCAUCCGUGGCCCAGGCACUGGGGGGCUGAGGUCCUCUGAGAAGGGACACAGGGCCUGGGGGGCUGUCUCAGCCCAUCAGCAGGAGAGGACUGACUCCAGAAAAAUCAGCGUUUGUACCCACUCAGGCUGCCAAGACCUGUGUCCGUCCUUCCAAGCUCAACCUUCAGAGUUCAUGAGGCCCCUUGCCCAGAAUGUCCACAGAGUUCAUGAGGCCCCUUGAAUGUCCACAGAGUUCAUGAGGCUCCUUGCCUGGAAUAUCCACGUUUGAAACCUCCCAACACCGAGCCCCAUUUCAAGUAUAACCAGGAGGGAAAAUGGUGCUUGAAAUAAGCAUGCCGCAAAGGAAAACCUGCUUUCUCGAAAUGGGCCCUGGCCGCCCAGGCCCUGACCUCCCCGGCCAGGAUGGAACGUUCCAGAGACCCAUUAGUGCCAAAGGCAAAUGAAAACACACCCUGUGAAAAUG